UGCCUAAUACAUGCAAGUCGAGCGGACAGAAGGGAGCUUGCUCCCGGAUGUUAGCGGCGGACGGGUGAGUAACACGUGGGUAACCUGCCUGUAAGACUGGGAUAACUCCGGGAAACCGGAGCUAAUACCGGAUAGUUCCUUGAACCGCAUGGUUCAAGGAUGAAAGACGGUUUCGGCUGUCACUUACAGAUGGACCCGCGGCGCAUUAGCUAGUUGGUGGGGUAAUGGCUCACCAAGGCGACGAUGCGUAGCCGACCUGAGAGGGUGAUCGGCCACACUGGGACUGAGACACGGCCCAGACUCCUACGGGAGGCAGCAGUAGGGAAUCUUCCGCAAUGGACGAAAGUCUGACGGAGCAACGCCGCGUGAGUGAUGAAGGUUUUCGGAUCGUAAAGCUCUGUUGUUAGGGAAGAACAAGUGCGAGAGUAACUGCUCGCACCUUGACGGUACCUAACCAGAAAGCCACGGCUAACUACGUGCCAGCA
rnacentral:rRNA from 1 species